rnacentral:rRNA from 1 species
GACGAACGCUGGCGGCGUGCUUAACACAUGCAAGUCGUACGGUAAGGCCCUUUCGGGGGUACACGAGUGGCGAACGGGUGAGUAACACGUGAGUAACCUGCCCACAACUUUGGGAUAACGCUAGGAAACUGGUGCUAAUACUGGAUAUGUGCUCCUGCUGCAUGGUGGGGGUUGGAAAGCUCCGGCGGUUGUGGAUGGACUCGCGGCCUAUCAGCUUGUUGGUGGGGUAGUGGCCUACCAAGGCGGCGACGGGUAGCCGGCCUGAGAGGGUGACCGGCCACAUUGAGACUGAGAUACGGCCCAGGCUCCGACGGGAGGCAGCAGUGGGGAAUAUUGCACAAUGGGCGCAAGCCUGAUGCAGCAACGCCGCGUGCGGGAUGACGGCCUUCGGGUUGUAAACCGCUUUCAGCAGGGACGAAGCUUUUUGUGACGGUACCUGCAGAAGAAGCACCGGCUAACUACGUG